rnacentral:pre_miRNA from 1 species
GACUCCAAAAUACCCUUGUCAUCCAACAUUGGAUUCAAAAUUGACCACUUAUUUAACGGUCCAUUUUGAACAAAAAGGUGGAUGACAAGGGUAUUUUGGAGCCAA